GCCUUACACAUGCAAGUCGAACGGUAGAGUAGCAAUACUCGAGAGUGGCGAACGGGUGAGUAAUAUAUCGGAACGUGCCCAGUCGUGGGGGAUAACGUACAAAAAUUUACGCUAAUACCGCAUACGAUCUAAGGAUGAAAGCGGGGGACUCGCAAGAGCCUCGCGCGAUUGGAGCGGCUGAUAUCAGAUUAGGUUGUUGGUGAGGUAAAAGCUCACCAAGCCGACGAUCUGUAGCUGGUUUGAGAGAACGACCAGCCACACUGGGACUGAGACACGGCCCAGACUCCUACGGGAGGCAGCAGUGGGGAAUUUUGGACAAUGGGCGAAAGCCUGAUCCAGCAAUGCCGCGUGCAGGAAGAAGGCCUUCGGGUUGUAAACUGCUUUUGUACGGAACGAAACGGUCUGCUUUAAUACAGCGGGCUAAUGACGGUACCGUAAGAAUAAGCACCGGCUAACUACGUGCCAGCAGCCGCGGUAAUACGUAGGGUGCGAGCGUUAAUCGGAAUUACUGGGCGUAAAGCGUGCGCAGGCGGUUAUAUAAGACAGUUGUGAAAUCCCCGGGCUCAACCUGGGAAUUGCAUCUGUGACUGUAUAGCUAGAGUACGGUAGAGGGGGAUGGAAUUCCGCGUGUAGCAGUGAAAUGCGUAGAUAUGCGGAGGAACACCGAUGGCGAAGGCAAUCCCCUGGACCUGUACUGACG
rnacentral:rRNA from 1 species